rnacentral:rRNA from 1 species
UACAGAGGUCUCGAGCGUUAGGCGGAAUCACUGGGCUUAAAGCGUGUGUAGGCGGAUGCCUAAGUACCUUGUGAAAUCCCACGGCUUUAACCGUGGAACUGCUUGGUAUACUGGGUGUCUUGAGCCACUCAGGGGCGAGCGGAACAAAUGGUGGAGCGGUGAAAUGCGUAGAUAUCAUUUGGAACGCCAAUGGUGAAAACAGCUCGCUGGGGGUGUGCUGACGCUGAGACACGAAAGCCAGGGGAGCGAACGGG